CCCUCUGUAUCUCCCUUUCCCCACCUCCAAUCAUAUUGGCUAUUUGUUUUUUACUAGUGAAGUGUUAACUUAUAAAAUGUUUAAGACAAUGAGGGUUGUGGUGUGUCAUCACACACUUAAAUUGACCACAUGCCUUUAACAUUGAAAACGAUACACAUGACAUUCGCUUGUUGAGAAAAAGAUCAUCCUAAUUUCUAUGGUACAUGACACAAGUUGCUAAUUUAGAGAAAAAAUUCCAUUAGUAGA
rnacentral:lncRNA from 1 species